rnacentral:snRNA from 1 species
AUUAAUCACUAUCUUUUGAAGAAAUAAAAAUAUGGAAUGAUACAGAGAUUAGCAUGGCCCCUGCACAAGGAUGACUCGCAAAUUCGUGAAGCGUUCCAUAUUUUU